ensembl:lncRNA
AUGUCAGGAACAGAAGACAAAGCAGUUACACCUCCCCUCUUCUCCCCUCAAGGGUGCACACAUGAAGGGAGAGUCCCAUGCCACACACACCUCAGACCAGAACAAACACACCUCAGCAGGGUAUGUGUGAGAGAACGGCAGACAACAAGUGAGAGAGACUACAUCUGUCAUUGACAGCAUGUCAAACCACCACUUUGAAUUCAUCUUAGGAGAAGUUGCAAGAGGCCCUUUUAUGGCAGAAAGGAGAAAGAAACAGAGAGAAGCAUGUGAAAACACACCACAGAGAAAGAAAGAGUGGAACUUGACUUGCUGUAAAUGACAUGAGGAGUGUGUGUGUGUUUGUCUCUGUGGGUGUGUGUGUGACAUGUUCAGAGUACUUGCAUUGCCUUCCUGCGCAGACUUAAAACUUCAUGCAUUCAGUAAUUGCUAGUAAGUGAUUCUCUGAAACCCAGAAGCUUAGUUCCUGUCAACAGUGGCCAGCGCAGCACUGGGCUUAAAGUAGUUUAAAUGCAUAAAAUCUAGUUUGUACAUCAAAAAUGUACAUUACCAUGAUGGCAUGCAAUAUUUAUAUUAGUUAAGAAUUAGUUGAUAAGUGUAUUGAGUACACUGUAAUGUAACAGAGUUAGAGAUCACAACAUUUUACACUAUUUCAGUCUUUCUACUCAAAAAUGUCAAAUUUAAUUAAAUGUUUUACUUGCCGUUUCUUUGUAAUUCUUUGUGAAAUUUCCUAUCAAUUUCUAAGUGGAACAUGGGUUUAAAGCAAAUGCUAUCUUUUUUAUUUUUAUUUUUGGAGGGAGAAUUCCAGGUAUAUUAUGAAACUAAAAUAUAAAAUAAAAAUUUUGCCACACCUGUUUCAAUUGGGGCGAAACAUAAUUUCAAAAAGUGCAUCAAAGAUAACUGGUUCGUAGUCGACCUACAAACCUUCAAGGAAUAGUUCACCUAAAAAAAAAAAAAUAGAAUAUUGUGUUAAAAACUGAUUUUGCACAUUCGUUUGAUGUUUCACGGUCAUUAUGCUAUAUUAAUGUAAUUAACUGCCCUCUUACAGAAAGACUUGUGUGUAAUUUGAAUACUAUUGAAAUGAAAACAUUCCUGGGCCAUUGGCCAGACUGGCUGCUUUCCAUUUGACUUCUGUCUUAUCCAUGAAUCACUUUGAAGUGCUGUCAGUAUGUAUCUGUGACUACAAGAGAAUUGAAAGUACAACUGGCACUAUCUUUUCCAGCGAACCCAAGAGGUCUAGAAAAGCAACAUUCAAUGAUUAUUUAUCACACAGGACCAAGGCGACAGAAAUCCUGCUCUGUCAGAUCUUACA